GCCCCACCCUAUUCAAUUCCCUUUUUAAAUGCUGUCAUUAGUCUAUACUGGUUUCUUGGUAGUAAUACAAAUAUGUAUUAUAUGGAAGGAAACGUGUCGACAGCGCAUCAAGCCUUUGGCAUGGGCCCUUGUGGCCCCAAUCCAUCCCCAGCCCAUGGUCCUCAGCCGGGUCAAGGCCCCAGAAACCCUGGUCAUCCUGGAUCUUAUGGAGCUCCACACCCUGAGGACCAGAGCAGCCUUCCCCAGCCCCCACACCAUCACCAAAACCAGCAGCAACCCCAUCACCACAUCCAGCACAGCAGACCCUUCUUCUACGUGCAGCCCUCCCAGUUAUACCCCCCUCCUUCUCUGACCUACCUUCUCUGCACGCUGGAUUGUGGCCUAGAGCACCCUAGAGAGGCCUUGCCCUAUAUUUACACAACUACGGCCACAAUCCAGCGUGCAUUUAAUCUACAGUGGUGGGUCUGGACAAGUCAGCAUAUUUUCAAGAAAGGCCAGGGGCACCUAAAUGGAGGGGCCCAAUAGACCUCAAGAGGC
ensembl:lncRNA